AUGUCCUCCAUCACGAUCUCGAAUGAAACUAUCCAUGGAAUCGUGCACCGUGUGAAACGUAGAUCAUCGCCGUUCUUAACCGAGACUCAGAUUAAGCUCCGUCUCGGAACCGCCGUGGGGUUAGGAGUAAAGCAUCACGAGGUUGGCACAUCUCAUUGGGCGUGGAGAAGCAUUGGGAACCCCAAUAUCUUUCUUCGGAGCAGUUUCUUUUCCCGUCCCCUCGCCCCGGCAUAG
rnacentral:rRNA from 1 species